AAUAAUAUAAAGGAGUGCGCAACAAUUCUUGUUAUAAGUAGAAAGUCAUGGAAUUCUAAUAGUAUAUAAACCACAAUAAAUAUUAUUCUAACAAUAACCUUAAACAUCAUUCAAAUCAAGGAAACUCUAUAUAUUCUCAAAUUCUCUCAAUAUUAUUUACCAUAUUGAAUAAUACUUGAAUAUAAUAAUGCUUUUUAGAAUCAAU
rnacentral:lncRNA from 1 species